AGAGUUUGAUCAUGGCUCAGAUUGAACGCUGGCGGCAGGCUUAACACAUGCAAGUCGAACGGUAACAGGAAGAAAGCUUGCUUUCUUUGCUGACGAGUGGCGGACGGGUGAGUAAUGCUUGGGAAUCUGGCUUAUGGAGGGGGAUAACUACGGGAAACUGUAGCUAAUACCGCGUAGUAUCGAGAGAUGAAAGUGUGGGACCGCAAGGCCACAUGCCAUAAGAUGAGCCCAAGUGGGAUUAGGUAGUUGGUUAGGUAAAGGCUGACCAAGCCGACGACCUCUAGCUGGUCUGAGAGGAUGACCAGCCACACUGGAACUGAGACACGGUCCAGACUCCUACGGGAGGCAGCAGUGGGGAAUAUUGCACAAUGGGGGGAACCCUAAUGCAGCCAUGCCGCGUGAAUGAAGAAGGCCUUCGGGUUGUAAAGUUCUUUCGGUGAUGAGGAAGGUGUUUGUUUUAAUAGAACAAGCAAUUGACGUUAGUCACAGAAGAAGCACCGGCUAACUCCGUGCCAGCAGCCGCGGUAAUACGGAGGGUGCGAGCGUUAAUCGGAAUAACUGGGCGUAAAGGGCACGCAGGCGGUGACUUAAGUGAGAUGUGAAAGCCCCGAGCUUAACUUGGGAAUUGCAUUUCAUACUGGGUCGCUAGAGUACUUUAGGGAGGGGUAGAAUUCCACGUGUAGCGGUGAAAUGCGUAGAGAUGUGGAGGAAUACCGAAGGCGAAGGCAGCCCCUUGGGAAUGUACUGACGCUCAUGUGCGAAAGCGUGGGGAGCAAACAGGAUUAGAUACCCUGGU
rnacentral:rRNA from 1 species